UACGAAGGGGGCUAGCGUUGCUCGGAAUUACUGGGCGUAAAGGGCGCGUAGGCGGAUAGUUCAGUUGGGGGUGAAAGCCCGGGGCUCAACCUCGGAACUGCCUUCAAUACUGGCUAUCUUGAGUACGGGAGAGGUGUGUGGAACUCCGAGUGUAGAGGUGAAAUUCGUAGAUAUUCGGAAGAACACCAGUGGCGAAGGCGACACACUGGCCCGUUACUGACGCUGAGGCGCGAAAGCGUGGGGAGCGAUCCGG
rnacentral:rRNA from 1 species